CUCGUGGGUACCCAUAGAACCCAUUUAUAUUCACACAUCUGGAGGUCAGAGGUCAAGGGACCCCUUUGAAAAUGGACAUGACAGUUUUUCCUCACCAACAUUUAGUGCAACUUCGGGGCGUAAUUUCGCCUCCUUCCCAACUAGCUAGAGUGACCUGGUUGGUACCGAUAGAUUCUCUAGGUUUUCUACACAGGCACAGUUUGUGUUGGUUCAGGGGGUUCACAUGUGCCAGAGACAGAAACUAUAGAGCUGAUCGUUCUCUGUUAGACAGAGGUGAGGUGUUGUAGUUACAGCUUUAGGCAGCAGGACAGAUUUCCUCUCUCGGUCCUCGUGACAGCGAAGACAUCAUGACAUCUGUCCUGAAAUGUACCCAACAUGCUGCAGCAGUUUGAGAGUGUGAAGCCUGAAAGCCUCCAACAGGAGAAGAAGAAGCAGCGAUGCAGCGCUGAAAGCUGAAAGCUGGAGAGUUUCUCAGAGUUUCUCAGUUUGCUGGUCUGAAAGCAGUUGACCUACUUUUUUUUAUUGGAGUUUAAUGGAGCUUUAAGGAGGCGACAGGCACAGAGAGGAGGGAGCUGAAGGAGGGAUUUAAACUCACACACAUAAUAAAGGCAUGUAUGGAUGGAUGUGGAUGAAGGCGUUUACUGUGUAUACAUGCAGUGAUUUAAGUGUAUUAACAUGCAGACAGAUGUGGACACACACACACACACACACACACACGCAUACACACACUCACACACACACACACACACACACACACACACACCCACACACACACACACACACACACCGAGAGCUGGGCAGUGAUCCAGUCAGGACAAACAUCUGUCUGUCAGAUUGAUGGAGAGGAGAUGUUGUGAGAGAUAUGAACACACAAAGAGCAACAACUGGAGCACAUCUGUGCUGAACACAGCACUAAUACUUGUCAGAGUGUUUUGGUGACGGUAAAACUAAACUGUUGAUCUCUGACUAUGUGGUCACUGACACACUGGUCUGGUCCUGCUGCUGUCAGCAGCUCUUUCUCUGAAGGAGCAUUGAAGCCUUUCACUGUGUUGGCUGUUGGCGUUCACUUCUGAGGAGCUGGUCACCAAACACCAUUCUGUUUUAGUGCUUUAAUAUGUUGUUGUAUUCACCCAUCUGACAGUUCUCAGAUCAAGAUUUUACACAGUAAACAUGCCAUCGGUUUAUAUAAUAUGAUGCUGUUAGGAAUGUAAAGUGGCAGUAGACCAGUUUUGUUUUGCUUUAACUUCAUUAUGAAGUAAAUGUUGUAAAACAACCAAAAACAGACCGAAUACAGCCACAAAGAGACACAAAACAACCACAAAGAGACGUAAAACCUCUACAAAAAAACGCAAAACCUCUACAAAGAGACGUAAAACCUCUACAAGGAGACGUAAAACCUCUACAAGGAGACGUAAAACCUCUACAAAGAGACGUAAAACCUCUACAAGGAGACGUAAAACCUCUACAAGGAGACGUAAAACCUCUACAAGGAGACGUAAAACCUCUACAAGGAGACGUAAAACCUCUACAAAGAGACGUAAAACCUCUAGAAGGAGACGUAAAACCUCUACAAGGAGACGUAAAACCUCUACAAGGAGACGUAAAACCUCUACAAGGAGACGUAAAACCUCUACAAAGAGACGUAAAACCUCUACAAGGAGACGUAAAACCUCUACAAAGAGACGUAAAACCUC